CAGCAGCCGCGGGAAUACAGAGGAUGCAAGCGUUAUCCGGAAUGAUUGGGCGUAAAGCGUCUGUAGGUGGCUAUAUAAGUCUGAUGUGAAAAUGCAGGGCUCAACUCUGUAUUGCGUUGGAAACUGUAUAACUAGAGUACUGGAGAGGUAAGCGGAACUACAAGUGUAGAGGUGAAAUUCGUAGAUAUUUGUAGGAAUGCCGAUGGGGAAGCCAGCUUACUGGACAGAUACUGACGCUGAAGCGCGAAAGCGUGGGUAGCAAACAGGAUUAGAUACCCCGGUAGUCCCUGUCUCUUAUACA
rnacentral:rRNA from 1 species